GAUGAGCGCUGGCGGUAUGCCUAACACAUGCAAGUCGCACGCCUCACUUCGGUGAGGAGUGGCGGACGGGUGAGUAACACGUUAGUACCUGCCCCAAAGUGGGGAAUAACUGCCCGAAAGGGUAGCUAAUACCCCAUAGUCUCCGGUUUAUCCGGAGUAAAGAUUUAUCGCUUUGGGAGGGGCUUGCGUUUGAUUAGCUAGUUGGUGAGGGUAAUGGCCCACCAAGGCGACGAUCAAUAGCUGGAUCGAGAGGUUGACCAGCCACACUGGGACUGAGAUACGGCCCAGACUCCUACGGGAGGCAGCAGUGAGGAAUCUUCCACAAUGGGCGAAAGCCUGAUGGAGCAAUACCGCGUGCAGGAUGAAGCUUUUCGGAGUGUAAACUGCUUUUCUGAAGGAAGAUUAUGACGGUACUUCAGGAAUAAGGAUCGGCUAACUACGUG
rnacentral:rRNA from 1 species